ACAUGCUUUGCCCAGCUCAGCCUACAUGCCCUCUCCCGAUGUCAGUUACCAGGCUUUGCUAAUAAAACGUCUCUCCCGGCUCUUCCAGAGAGCCAGCCGCAGAGUCUCUGCCGUCUCCCCGUGCGCUCAAGCACAAGCCCCCAACUAAAAGCCUUGUCUGGAAAAUCUGCUUGGUGCCAUAACAGAUUAUCUGGUGAGCCAGGUAGGAGCACAAGGAGUAAUUUCCCUCCCUGCAGGGGAGGCUUGUGAGCCUGCGAGCCGGAGGGAGGCCCCACUGAUUCAGCGCUGCCACCGCGACUGGCGAGUUUUCCUCUAGUCUCGCGACUGGUAAGUUUUCCUCUGGUCUCUGCAAGACUCCUCACCACUCCUGCCCCAGACAAUGUUUUCCCUUCCCUCGCGUCCCCUAUUUGUUGUCUUUUUCCUUCUUCCUUUCUGCUUUCCUUCCUUCACUUUUAACUUCAUUGGCUCGAACUGAACAGACACCCGUGCAGGACGGACUGACACGGCUGGAAGGAACUACUGGGUGCCCUGGCUUCAGACCCAAUAGUUGACAAUCUUCAAGUCUUUCAGUGCUUUCCCUCCCUUUGCCACACCUGUUGGGAAGGGAAGCCUGUGAGCUUUUCUCUGUCUGUUCAGUGUUUGAGCCUACGGACUCUGGGUGCUGCCUUUAUGCGGGGAGAAUUGACGGCACAUGGGGCUGGAGUUUGCCUAGCUCAUGCCCUGAUCUGUUUUUCCUUUUUGUAUGUUUAAUUCAACAUCUUAUUGACUGUCAUUCGGUUACUACCAAAUGCAGGACACUGGUCAGUAGAACCUGGACCUGCUGUAAGGCUGAAGAAGAAAAAGAAACCAUCCAAGCUGGCACUCGGUUUUGGGGAGUUCUCUUCACUGCUCACGCCGGCCCUCUUGUGUGACCUGUACUGUUGUGCUGUGUGGGGCUGGGAGCCAACUCUCUUUUCGUCGCCUGACACCUGUGCUUGCACCCUGCCCCUGGUCCUUUAAUAAGACAAGCAGACACAGGGGCUACAGUCAUGGGCAAUGCCCCAGGCAUCUUCCAAGACUCACACCUGGGAUGUAUCAUUUCUAAAUGGAAGGAAUCCAAAUCAGAUGGUUUAAAGAAAAAGAAACUCCAGCCUGGGAAACAUAGGAAGACUCCACCUCUACAAAAAACAGGAAAAAUGAGCCGGGUGUGGGGGUGCCUUCCUGGGGUCUCAGCUACUCAGAAGGCUAAAGUGAGGAUCGCUUAAGUCCAGGAGGUUGAGGCUGCAGUGAGUUGUGGUAAUACCAUAGCACUCCAACCUGGGCAAUGGAGUGAGACCCUGCCUCAAAAUCAAAUUUUUUUUUUAAUUAAAAAAAAAGAAACUGAUUUUCCUCUGUAAUACAACCUGCCCUAGUACACAUUAGAUCAAGAAAAAUGGCCAUGGGCAGAAGUGGAUCUCCUAGUUUUAACACUAUCUUACCGCCCGACCUAUUCUGUGAAUGGACAGAGAAAUGGGGAGAGAUACCUAGCUACAAGCUUUUAUGAAGUUAUGCUAGGACCCAGAGCUACUGGAUUCUUGUCAGGUGUGUGUGGCCCCUAUUUCCAGGUUCCUCCUGAAGGAACCUGAAGAAGCGGACCUCCACAGCCUCAGGCCCCGAGCACUCCCUCCCUACCCUAAGCAGGCCUCCUGGGGAGGGGAGCCCCUGUGCUGUCCCCAACAGCGCUCCAAUCGGACUCCAAACAGGCACCCUCUUUUGCUUCCCCACUGGCCCAGGGCUGUUUUCCCCUCAGAGAAAUGGAUGGAAACGGGGGAGUGACAAGGAUCCAAGUUCCUUUUUUUGGUGGUGGAUCUAGGACUAUGUAAAAAACACUUUGGUAGAUUUUCAGAGGAUCCUGGUAAGUUUAGAGAUGAAUUUGUUAAACUAAAUCUUGCCUUUUCAUUGACGUGGCAGGAUGUUAUGGUCACUUUGCAGUACUGAUGAAAAGCAACACAUAUUUGGAAAGGCUAAGGAAUAUGCCAAUAGCCAGGUGGUCACUAAAGACCAAUAUGCAGUCAUCUGUUUAGGGGGAGAUGCGGUCCCAGGCAUAGUCUCCACGUGAGUGAGACUAUGGAGAAAACCUAGAAAAAGCUAGAAUGAGCCACUUUGUCACCUGCCUGACUGAAGGAAGAAGGAAAUGUAUAGUAAAACCUGUACACUAUGACAGGGUCAAGAAAAUUACCCAGAGAAAGAAGGAGAUCCCAGUAGUCUUCCUCAAUCGAGUCCCUGAGGCCCUUGGGAAAUGCACCCAUGCAGACCCAGAGGCAGCAGAGGGGAAGCAUCGCGUGCCAUGCAUUUUAUCCUUCAGUCAGCUCCGGACAUUAGAAGGAAAUUACAGAAAAUUUGGAGGCCAGACCCCAGACCCUGCUGUUGACUUUGGCAGAGGCGGCUUUUAAGGUUUUCAAUAACGGACAGGACACAGAUGGCAGGUAAGAAGAGGAGACUGACCAAGACAGCACAGCUUCUGGCUGCCCUAAUUCAUCCACCAUCUCAGGGUGACCCUAGGAUUCUCAGGAGACCAACUAAUCGAAGACAGCCAACCUUGGAUGGAGCCAAUGUGCCUACUGCAGGAUGGAGGGGGUCACUGGAAGAGAGGCUGCCCUGACCUCCUUAAAACAGGACAGCCGGCAGGCAACCCUGGCCAGCCGCCACUCCUCACCAAGCUUUCAGAUGAGAUUGAUACACACCGCCUGACAGCACCCUGGCUCUGACUGCAGCACACUCCAUCGUCAUCACACCACGGAGCCUCAGGUCACCCUUGAUGUGGCAGUUCUAGGAACUGGCCUUAGGAAAUCUAACUAUGAAACCAAGGUUAUGGAGUAUCCCACCUCAGGAAGGAACACUGAACAACUGAUUGACAGUCUUCUUGCCGCCAGCCAGACCACCAAGUGGCCCAUUAACCAAGAGAACCAGCGCAACCAGAUACGCUGACCCGCAUCUCCUACCUCUCAUGUGCUUUGCCCAGCCCAGCCUGCAUACCUUACUCAUGAUGUCAAUUCCCAAGUUUCGCUAAUAAAAACAUCUCUGCAAGCCUCUUCAGGGAGCCAACAAGACAGUCCUUGUGCCUCUGCUGUCUCCCUAGUACUUGAGUACAAGCCCCAAAAACA
rnacentral:lncRNA from 1 species